AUGAACGCUGGCGGCGUGCCUAAUACAUGCAAGUCGAGCGAACAGAUUAGGAGCUUGCUCCUCUGACGUUAGCGGCGGACGGGUGAGUAACACGUUGAUAACCUACCUAUAAGACUGGGAUAACUUCGGGAAACCGGAGCUAAUACCGGAUAAUAUAUUUAACCGCAUGGUUCAAUAGUGAAAGACGGUUUUGCUUUCACUUAUAGAUGGAUCCGCGCCGCAUUAGCUAGUUGGUAAGGUAACGGCUUACCAAGGCAACGAUGCGUAGCCGACCUGAGAGGGUGAUCGGCCACACUGGAACUGAGACACGGUCCAGACUCCUACGGGAGGCAGCAGUAGGGAAUCUUCCGCAAUGGGCGAAAGCCUGACGGAGCAACGCCGCGUGAGUGAUGAAGGUCUUCGGAUCGUAAAACUCUGUUAUUAGGGAAGAACAAAUGUGUAAGUAACUAUGCACGUCUUGACGGUACCUAAUCAGAAAGCCACGGCUAACUACGUG
rnacentral:rRNA from 1 species